UACGUAGGUGGCAAGCGUUGUCCGGAUUUAUUGGGCGUAAAGGGGGCGCAGGCGGUUUCUUAAGUCUGAUGUGAAAGCCCACGGCUCAACCGUGGAAGGUCAUUGGAAACUGGGGAACUUGAGUGCAGAAGAGGAGAGUGGAAUUCCAUGUGUAGUGGUGAAAUACGUAGAGAUAUGGAAGAACACCAGUGGCGAAGGCGGCUUUCUGGUCUGAAAUUGACGCUGAGGCUCGAAAGCGUGGGGAGCAAACAGG
rnacentral:rRNA from 1 species